AUUGAACGCUGGCGGCAGGCUUAACACAUGCAAGUCGAGCGGGGAAGAGUAGCUUGCUACUUAACCUAGCGGCGGACGGGUGAGUAAUGCUUAGGAAUCUGCCUAUUAGUGGGGGACAACAUCUCGAAAGGGAUGCUAAUACCGCAUACGUCCUACGGGAGAAAGCAGGGGACCUUCGGGCCUUGCGCUAAUAGAUGAGCCUAAGUCGGAUUAGCUAGUUGGUGGGGUAAAGGCCUACCAAGGCGACGAUCUGUAGCGGGUCUGAGAGGAUGAUCCGCCACACUGGGACUGAGACACGGCCCAGACUCCUACGGGAGGCAGCAGUGGGGAAUAUUGGACAAUGGGGGGAACCCUGAUCCAGCCAUGCCGCGUGUGUGAAGAAGGCCUUUUGGUUGUAAAGCACUUUAAGCGAGGAGGAGGCUACCGAGAUUAAUACUCUUGGAUAGUGGACGUUACUCGCAGAAUAAGCACCGGCUAACUCUGUGCCAGCCGCCGCCGUAA
rnacentral:rRNA from 1 species